AAAUUUGAAGUUUUAGAGCUAAUCAAACUUCUGGGUCCGCGGUUAGUCAAAUCGUGGAGAUGAAUGAAUGAGUAUGGUAAAAGGUGGAAGGUUGACGAAGAUGCGAGAACAUCACAAUAUUAAGAAACAAAGAAUCUAGACAGUAACACACGUGAGAAUAGAUAAGGAAAACCAAAUUGAAGUGAAUAAUGGUUUUCGGUAUCAUGAAAUGAAAGCUGUGUUUGCUAUGCCCACCGCUAAGAAGUAGGCACAAAGAAUGUGUUUGUAAAUAUUUUUCGAUGAAAAACGAUACAUUUGACAAUUUAUUUCGAAAACAUUUUGAUAUUGUGUGUCACUUUAUAAUUAUAAUUGGUUCAUUACAUUUUUGAAUUAUUCUAUAGUUUUCGUGAAAAUAAAAUGAAUUGUAACUCAAGGGUGCGGGUGUUUCAAAUUUUCGACGUUUUGUUUUUACGUUCGCGAAACUUAGGUUUAUGAAACUUGGUUACA
rnacentral:lncRNA from 1 species